rnacentral:lncRNA from 1 species
UCACCUGUUGGCUCAUUUUAGCAAAAAUCAACUCCUUUGAUUCAAGAAUGUUUGAAGCCUGGGAUAAUUUUGAUUGAACCAGAGUUGAAGUCUAUUUCCACAUUCUCCUGCCUGACUUGCUGAAGUUCUGGUAGAUAUUUUGAAAACUGGAUGAAGAAACGAAUCAAUGAAACUGUGGCCCUAAGACAAAGGAUCUGAAAGAGCACAAGGACCUUCUCCUGACUUCCAAAAAUUAUUAGAGCUGCUUCUUUCUUAAAAUAGACCAU